rnacentral:rRNA from 2 species
AUGACUCUCAGCAACGGAUAUCUUGGCUCUUGCAACGAU